rnacentral:misc_RNA from 1 species
AAGUCGUAACAAGGUUUCCGUAGGUGAACCUGCGGAAGGAUCAUUGCAAAACGAGUGUGAGAUAUGUUGGAAUGUGUGAAUGAACGUUUGACAAUAACUUUUACGAAUUUUUAUACAACUCUCCACAAUGGAUCUCUGGGCUCUU